GGAUGGCAUUUGGACGAUUGGAUCAACAUUUUCUUGAUGUUAGCUAAGUAUUGUCAUUAGUUAGGUAUUGUUAUAGGUUUUGUGUUAUUUAUAGGUUUUAGUAGUUUAUAAUAGUUAUUUAUGGGUUAUGUGACUGCGUCGUCGAUUUCGUUGUGUUAUUUAUGGGUUAUGGGUACAAUAGUUAUUCGUUGUGUUUUGGUACAUUUCCACAUUAGCCUCCGUCGUCGAUUUAUUUGUUCUGGUUCUGAUUCUCUCCGCCGGUUUCUCUGGGUUCUGUGUUCAAAAUCACUUACUUCCAUUUCCAGGCUCUGUUCUGCGUUUUACUGUUAAGGUUUCUUCGUUCUUCAUCUUAAUGUAGCCUUCGUUCCAUUUCCAAACGUAGCCUUCGUCUGGGUUCUUCAUCUUCUGGGUGCUUCAUUCUGUGCGUUUUGGGUUCAGAAACGAAAUAUAAUCAUCCUAUGCAGAAACGAAAUAUGGUCCCAUUCAGAAACAAAAUAUGGUGUGUUCUGUGCUUAGUUCAUAAAUUUAUGAAGGAUCUGCUCGAAGUUUAAUGAUUUACAAAACUGCUCAAAUUGGUUCAUAUGAUUUCUAUUCUUGGGUACACUUAAUUAUAUUCACCUUGAAUUGGUGGAAUUAAUCAAUUAAUUAUAUUCACCUUAACAUGGCAAUUACCAUAAUUUUAUUUCGACUUCAGGCAUGAAUUUCAUUUAGAGAUUAUGUAAAUCGGACUUUUUUUUUAAGUAGUUAAAUUUGAAGAUUUGUUCUCUCAGGUCUCAACUAAGAAUCAAGUCGCCAAACAAGACGCCACUGAGACCAAUCUCGAUUUAAAUCUAGGCUUAAAAGCUGACUAUGGCAAGCACGAAACAAUCCAAAAUUAAUAUCAAAAUAAGAGAGACGGUUGUCAUGGCCUCACUUUCUAUGGCUUUAGAAAUGUUUCGAUUAAUUCAAGAGUUCGGAUCUACUGUAUGUUUUUUAAUCUGGGCUGUUGAAGUUCUUUCAAUCUGUCUCACCAUAUCAAAUGAUAUGAUUUUAUGUUCAUAUAUUAUACACAAUAUUAAUAUGAUGGAAACAAUCCGAAAAUUGACCUGAACAGAGGUAUAAA
rnacentral:lncRNA from 1 species